GACGAACACUGGCGGCGUGCUUAACACAUGCAAGUCGAACGGAAAGGCCCUGCUUUUGUGGGGUGCUCGAGUGGCGAACGGGUGAGUAACACGUGAGUAACCUGCCCUUGACUUUGGGAUAACUUCAGGAAACUGGGGCUAAUACCGGAUAGGAGCUCCUGCUGCAUGGUGGGGGUUGGAAAGUUUCGGCGGUUGGGGAUGGACUCGCGGCUUAUCAGCUUGUUGGUGGGGUAGUGGCUUACCAAGGCUUUGACGGGUAGCCGGCCUGAGAGGGUGACCGGCCACAUUGGGACUGAGAUACGGCCCAGACUCCUACGGGAGGCAGCAGUGGGGAAUAUUGCACAAUGGGCGGAAGCCUGGUGCAGCAACGCCGCGUGCGGGAUGACGGCCUUCGGGUUGUAAACCGCUUUCGCCUGUGACGAAGCGUGAGUGACGGUAAUGGGUAAAGAAGCACCGGCUAACUACGUG
rnacentral:rRNA from 1 species